AGAGUUUGAUCAUGGCUCAGGAUGAACGCUGGCGGCGUGCCUAACACAUGCAAGUCGAACGAGAAGCUAACUUCUGAUUCCUUCGGGAUGAGGAGGUCGGCAGAAAGUGGCGAACGGGUGAGUAACGCGUGGGUAAUCUACCCUGUUUAGUGGGGGAUAACCCUCCGAAAGGAGGGCUAAUACCGCAUAAUAUCUUCACUUCCCAGGAAGAGAAGAUUAAAGAUGGCCUCUAUACUAUGCUAUCGCUUCAGGAUGAGCCUGCGUCCUAUUAGUUAGUUGGUGGGGUAAUGGCCUACCAAGACCACAAUGGGUAGCCGGUCUGAGAGGAUGUACGGCCACACUGGGACUGAGAUACGGCCCAGACUCCUACGGGAGGCAGC
rnacentral:rRNA from 1 species